GCAUAUCAAUAAGCGGAGGAAAAGAACCAACAGGGAUUGCCCUAGUAACGGCGAGUGAAGCGGCAACAGCUCAAAUUUGAAAUCUGGCCCCCUGCGGGGUCCGAGUUGUAAUUUGUAGAGGGUGCUUCGGCGCGGUCCCCAGCCUAAGUUCCUUGGAACGGGACGUCAUAGAGGGUGAGAACCCCGUAUGUGGCUGGUGUGCCGGGCCAUGUGAAGCCCCUUCGACGAGUCGAGUUGUUUGGGAAUGCAGCUCUAAAUGGGAGGUAUAUUUCUUCUAAAGCUAAAUACUGGCCAGAGACCGAUAGCGCACAAGUAGAGUGAUCGAAAGAUGAAAAGCACUUUGGAAAGAGAGUCAAACAGCACGUGAAAUUGUUGAAAGGGAAGCGCUUGCCACCAGACUUGUUGGCCGUCGUUCAUCCCGGGGUCUCUCCCGGGUGCACUCGGCGGCGGACAGGCCAGCAUCAGUGGGGGCGGCCGGACAAAGGCGCGGGGAAUGUGGCUCCCUCCGGGGAGUGUUAUAGCCCUGCGCGUCCCACGGCCAGCCCCGACUGAGGUCCGCGCUUUGGCUAGGAUGCUGGCGUAAUGGUUGCAAGCGGCCCGUCUUGAAACACGGACCAAGGAGUCUAACAUCUAUGCGAGUGUUUGGGUGUCAAGCCCGGGCGCGGAAUGAAAGUGAACGGAGGUGGGAACCCCUUGCGGGGCGCACCAUCGACCGAUCCUGAUGUCUUCGGAUGGAUUUGAGUAAGAGCAUAGCUGUUGGGACCCGAAAGAUGGUGAACUAUGCCUGAAUAGGGUGAAGCCAGAGGAAACUCUGGUGGAGGCUCGCAGCGGUUCUGACGUGCAAAUCGAUCGUCAAAUUUGGGCAUAGGGGCGAAAGACUAAUCGAACUAUCUAGUAGCUGGUUCCUGCCGAAGU
rnacentral:rRNA from 1 species